rnacentral:pre_miRNA from 1 species
CCCUCCCGCUGGAUCCGGUGGAGGGGAGGCCGCCGCCGCCGCCUCCCCUCCCGCUGGAUCCAGCGGAGGGA